AUUGAACGCUGGCGGCAGGCUUAACACAUGCAAGUCGAGCGAGCGGCGGACGGGUGAGUAAUGUCUGGGAAACUGCCUGAUGGAGGGGGAUAACUACUGGAAACGGUAGCUAAAACCGCAUACCAUCAGAUGGGGCGAGAGGGGAUGAGCUAGUGGGUGGGGUAAUGGCUGCCCUAGGCGACGAUCCCUAGCUGGUCUGAGAGGAUGACCAGCCACACUGGAACUGAGACACGGCCCAGACUCCUACGGGAGGCAGCAGUGGGGAAUAUUGCACAAUGGGCGAAAGCCUGAUGCAGCCAUGCCGCGUGUGUGAAGAAGGCCUUCGGGUUGUAAAGCACUUUCAGCGAGGAGGCGUUAUUCGCAUAAGAAGCACCGGCUAACUCCGUGCCAGCAGCCGCGGUAAUAC
rnacentral:rRNA from 1 species